CUCGUAGGCGGCUUGUCACGUCGGAUGUGAAAGCCCGGGGCUUAACCCCGGGUCUGCAUUCGAUACGGGCAGGCUAGAGUGUGGUAGGGGAGAUCGGAAUUCCUGGUGUAGCGGUGAAAUGCGCAGAUAUCAGGAGGAACACCGGUGGCGAAGGCGGAUCUCUGGGCCAUUACUGACGCUGAGGAGCGAAAGCGUGGGAGCGAACA
rnacentral:rRNA from 1 species